GAUGAACGCUGGCGGCGUGCCUAAUACAUGCAAGUCGAGCGAACGGACGAGAAGCUUGCUUCUCUGAUGUUAGCGGCGGACGGGUGAGUAACACGUGGAUAACCUACCUAUAAGACUGGGAUAACUUCGGGAAACCGGAGCUAAUACCGGAUAAUAUUUUGAACCGCAUGGUUCAAAAGUGAAAGACGGUCUUGCUGUCACUUAUAGAUGGAUCCGCGCUGCAUUAGCUAGUUGGUAAGGUAACGGCUUACCAAGGCAACGAUGCAUAGCCGACCUGAGAGGGUGAUCGGCCACACUGGACCUGAGACACGGUCCAGACUCCUACGGGAGGCAGCAGUAGGGAAUCUUCCGCAAUGGGCGAAAGCCUGCCGGAGCAACGCCGCGUGAGUGAUGAAGGUCUUCGGAUCGUAAAACUCUGUUAUUAGGGAAGAACAUAUGUGUAAGUAACUGUGCACAUCUUGACGGUACCUAAUCAGAAAGCCGCGGCUAACUACGUG
rnacentral:rRNA from 1 species